UACGAGGGGGGCGAGCGUUGUUCGGAAUUAUUGGGCGUAAAGGGCGCGUAGGCGGUGCGGUAAGUCACCUGUGAAACCUCUGGGCUCAACUCAGAGCCUGCAGGCGAAACUGCCGUGCUGGAGUGUGGGAGAGGUGCGUGGAAUUCCCGGUGUAGCGGUGAAAUGCGUAGAUAUCAGGAGGAACACCGGUGGCGAAGGCGGCCCUCUGGACGGUGACUGACGCUGAGACGCGAAAGCGUGGGGAGCAAACAGG
rnacentral:rRNA from 1 species